rnacentral:rRNA from 1 species
GACGAACGCUGGCGGCGCGCUUAACACAUGCAAGUCGAACGAUGAAGCCGGAGCUUGCUCUGGUGGAUUAGUGGCGAACGGGUGAGUAACACGUGAGUAACCUGCCCUUGACUCUGGGAUAAGCGUUGGAAACGACGUCUAAUACCGGAUACGAGCUAGGACCGCAUGGUCACUAGCUGGAAAGAACUUCGGUCAAGGAUGGACUCGCGGCCUAUCAGUUAGUUGGUGAGGUAACGGCUCACCAAGACGACGACGGGUAGCCGGCCUGAGAGGGUGACCGGCCACACUGGGACUGAGACACGGCCCAGACUCCUACGGGAGGCAGCAGUGGGGAAUAUUGCACAAUGGGCGCAAGCCUGAUGCAGCAACGCCGCGUGAGGGACGACGGCCUUCGGGUUGUAAACCUCUUUUAGCAGGGAAGAAGCGCAAGUGACGGUACCUGCAGAAAGAGCACCGGCUAACUACGUGCCAGCCGCCGCCGUAA